AAUGGGGGAAACCCUGAUCCAGCAAUGCCGCGUGUGUGAAGAAGGCCUUCGGGUUGUAAAGCACUUUCGGUGGGAAAGAAAGUCUCAAAGUUAAUACCUUUUGAGAUUGACGUUACCCACAAAAGAAGCACUGGCUAACUCUGUGCCAGCAGCCGCGGUAAUACAGAGAGUGCAAGCGUUAAUCGGAAUUACUGGGCGUAAAGCGCGCGUAGGUGGAUAUUUAAGUCGAAUGUGAAAGCCCUAGGCUUAACCUAGGAACUGCAUCCGAUACUAAAUAUCUAGAGUAUGGUAGAGGGAAGUGGAAUUUCCGGUGUAGCGGUGAAAUGCGUAGAUAUCGGAAAGAACACCAGUGGCGAAGGCGGCUUCCUAGACCAAUACUGACACUGAGGUGCGAAAGCGUGGGGAGCAAACAGGAUUAGAGACCCUGGU
rnacentral:rRNA from 1 species